GGCAGCGCUCGGGCUAGACGCCGGCGAGCCACGACGUGGCGGCAAAGCCGUCGGGCAACAUGCGAUAGCCGCGCACUCGACGAUGGUUGCAGAGUUCGCGGGGCAGCACAUGGUCAAAGAUCAUGGCCCUCAGUUCCCAGGGCAGCGAGCGCAUGCCAUCGCUCGCCGCGGCCAGCAGAAACCGGCAGACGGCGCGCCGACCCAGGCCGCACCUAUCACGGUAGGGCUCGCGAGCCUUGUUUGACUCGAUGGCACGAUUGAUCUGGUCCAGAUGAUCGAGCGGCAUGGCGUUGCUACACAGCGAGUCGGCAAAGGGCAUCUUGGUGAUCUCGACGCCCCUGCCGUGGCAAAAGCGGAUGCCGCCCUCUGACGUGAGGCCCUCGUAAAAGUAGCGCUCGCUGCCGUGGGCGAGACCGUCGGUGUCGAGCGGCGUCACGAUCCUCGGCCUCGGUUCAUUGUGGCACCACCUGGUCGAGUACCACUGGACCAUGUAGGCGGGCGCGUCGCAGAUGCCAUGGGCCAUCAAGGGGUCGUCCAGAUAGAUCAGGUUGUCGGUUGGGUAGCGCCGCGCGAAAAAGGCCACAAGUUGGUCACGCGAGAGCACCACAGGCUUGCGGUCGGCGCCGACCGUCUCUAGGUAGACCUCUUGGGUACGUUGGUCGCUCAUGUCCAAAGGUCGAUGCGCGUGUUGUGGACCCUCUGUUUUUCACGACAAUGCCCUCUUUUUCUUUUUCUCCCAAAGAUGGCCAAGCCCGAUCGAGUCGACCGAAUGUCGAAUAGGCGGCGAGAUUAAAUGCGACGGCGCGAGUCACGCCCGAUGUUGUUGGUACUGAUACAAGGAGACCAAGGCGGCGCCUCUCUUUUCGCCCUCAAAAAAAAAGGGAAAGGGGGUCGCUUGGCCCGCAUGCAAUCAUUGCAGCGCUUUGGCGCCCGCCAAUCGCCGACAUCAAUGUAACCAUUUCACCAAAAGAAAAAAAAGAGGCAACAGGUUGGGGCCAUGCGUGCGUCGGCCGUCCUUGGCUCUUUUGGUUUGUCGUCUGCGCUCGCACUGACGAGAGCGCACACACGCUGGCUGCGUGAGACAGAGAGGGAGGACGAUAGAAAAAGUAAAUACAUAAAAACUUGAACGAAAAAAAGAAAUGGACACACGCAUACAAACAAAUGUCGAGGGGACCCGCCCUCUGGGGAGACACGGGCGCCGGCGGCCUACAGGGACGACAGCGACUUUGAUCGUCUUCCGCCAGAGAUUGUGCGGAUCAUCGCGUCGUGGCUCGACUCGACGGCCGACCUCGUGCGUGCAGGGGCCACGUGCCGUCGACUUGGCGCCACGGCCGAUGCCAUACACCGCAAGAGGACGACUGCGCGCCGCGCAAGAGGCCCAUACGUUGAUCUGACCGGUUGUGCCCACCGCCUGCUUAUGGCCAUCGCAAUGGUCGAUCUGUCGUCAAUGGUCGAUGCGCUUGGCGUCGGUCAUGUGGGCUUGCGUGACGAUCUGGACCUUGACACGGUUACCGCGCAUGCGACCCCCGUGAUCGAUGUCGGCUCGACCAUCGGUGCCGUCACGACAUGUGUGGAACGGUUUUCUUGUCAUGGCACUCAUAACAACACGCCUCUCUCCAUCGUGAUCACGUAUGGAUCGGCGCGCUGCGCACACGCACUGGCGGCCAUUGGGGGCGUCGCUGAGCACCCGCCACGCGAUCGACGCCGUGUGUGGACUCAUCCGUGAUGUCGCCUGGCGUGCAAUCACCGUCUGGCACGAACGUCAGGACUGCGCGAGCAAAGAUCCUCUGAGUGAGAGCAUUGCCGUGCGCCGAGCCGGCCCCGUCGACCCGACCGAAGUGCUCGGUCCCGUGUUUGAAAAAGGGGGGGGGGCAUUGCUGUGACGACCACAUCGGCGCGCUUGCUUCUGAGCCAGGCGCGAGCGACCCUCGACAUUCUCGCUCAACGGUCGCUAUCCGGAUGCGAUGACGACGCCUUUUGCGCGCGGGUCUUGACGGGCGUACCGGCGCUCAUCACUUUGCUGAUUGAACGAGGUUGCCAACCGCACGCUCCAAAGGGCCUCUUGUGCUUGGACGCCAACGCCACCGUCGCCCAGGCAUGGGAGCGGUGGGUCACUGUGUCGCUCGCCAACGGCAAGUACGCCUUUCACUCGUGGCAAAACAAGUUUCUAAAGGCCAACCCGACCAACAGCGUCGAGGCCAUGGCCACAGCCAUCAGCGACUGGGAGCAGUUUGAGGCCAUCGACGUCAACCACCGUCUGGCCAGGUGGGCAUUCAAGACCCAUCAUGGCACCUACCUGGCGGCCGCCGCCGACGGCUUUGUCUAUUGUGGCACCGACCCGGCGCACUAUUGGACCCUUUCCGAUACGGUGUGAGCGCGCGCGCCGUUGCUCCCCGCCCCCUUUUUAUUUUCCCAACGCUGCUCCUGGCUCUACAUUUUUCCCUACUCGACUUGUUCCUUGGCCUCUGCCUUUUUUUGCGUCGGCGUGUUGUGUGAAAGGCAAAAACGAAAACGGAAAAACACUCUCUCGGAAUUGUCUCUCGGUCCAACCGGUCGGCUCGCGCGAGCCACCUAGAGGCCGCCCAUCGCCAUAAAAAAUA
rnacentral:lncRNA from 1 species